UUUGAGAGAAGAUGUGACUUUGGUGAUAAAGAUGGACUUACAUUGAGUAUUAAAGUGGACUCGAAAAAUGAUUAGUAAAUUUGGGUUUAAUGUGAGGAUUACUCAUGAAGGGAGAGAUUUGUUAGAUUCAUGAGUAAAUGGUUGUGUCCUACAUUAAUUAGAGGGAUGGAGAAAGAACGGUUAAUAUGUAAAUAAGGAUCCAAAAUCUAAUAGUUUAAGUUUUUGGGUCAGAGUUGAAUUUCUGACUUACAUAUUGGGUUAUUUGAUGGAUUCUUUUGAGGUGUUUCUCCCUGUCAUAUUCUCAACAAGUAAUAACCAUUAGAUCAAACUGGGCCUUAUGGUUCGUGGUUUCCCUUCACUUGUAAUCUCCUUCGCAUGCUACAUCACCACCAACGUAAAACUCCACAAAAUUGAUUAUUUGCUGAAAAGUCACCGUUGGCGUUAACAUCGAAGCACAAGGUGGCUCUAUUCCGUUGCAACCUUCACUAUUGGGCUCAUGGUGGCUUUUCUCUUUCCGACUGUUGAUCUGUCCUUUCUUUCUCUCUUCCUAGGUUGCAGUUUAUCUUGAUUUCUCUUUCUCCAUUUAUGUCUUUCUCUGUCAUCGAAGAGUUAGCUAUCUACCGUGGAAGAGGUAGGUGUUCGCUGUGUGAGAAUGGGCAAUGGCUGCAGGCGAUAGAAAGCAAUUUUAGCAAGUCUUUUUAUGGAAGUUACUUUACACCUUGAGGUGUAAAAUAUUUUACGCAGAAAAAUAUUUUCAUCAACAAUAAUAAUUUAAUCAAACACCGGAGCUCAAGGAAGUUGUUUUCGGAAAAAAAAUUUUCAAUUGAAACAAAUGGACCCUUAAACUAAGACUAAUUUUUACCUCAUGAAAAUAUUUAAUUGAAAACAUAUAAAAAUAACAUACAAAAUUAUUUUGAAUGACAAUUGGCAUCGAACUAACACAUUAGUGACUUCAUGAAAGCCCAUUUCAACUAGAGGUGAUAAUGGGGCGAGGCCCGUCCCUGCCCAUCCGUAAUCCUGCGCUCUAAAGUCCUCUCCCCGCUCCUGAUAUCAUAACCAUAAGGAAUUUUUGUUACCGGUAAGCAAAUAAAUAAAUAAAUAAAUAAAGGACCAAUGGCGAAAUCCAGGCUUAAGAGACACCAAAAAGAAAAUAAAAUGGGGGAGAAGGUUGUGAAAGCGGGCGACAUAUUUUCGUCAAUGUCAGAGCUCCUAAUUCUAGUUAAGUCAUAGCAUUAGCUUUUCUUUAACAGUGAAGUGUAUCCGUAUUUCCAGGCCAUUAGAAUAUCGACGACGAGGGAAUAUAUAAAAAAAAAAGGGGGGGAAAUAAUAUGCAAAUAUGGAAAGGAGCCCGGUUCACGUAUACAUCUCCGAUGGCGCGAUGGCUCCUCUCUCGUCCCUCUUCCACUAAAUUGUUCGUUGGAGGUCUCUUUCUCUCUUUGUUGGAUGCUGCUUUUAAUCUCCGAUUAUUAUACGUGGCUUCGUGCAUAUCUAAUUAGUGCUCUAUUGGGUAGCAUUCCAUAUGUUUGAGAAAAUGUUCCAAUGACUUCUUCACGUGAUGCUGCUAGCAUGGUUGCACUAUGUACAAGGUUACUCAAGUAUUGCAGCACUAACCUGAGAAGAUGAAGGGAUAUGGCAUCUAUCUACCUGUGGAGAUAAAUAGAGUCCGCACUAACGAAAUGGCUUCAACAAAAAUAUUGCCUUUUUCGGGGAAAUGAUGAACUGUUUUGUCAAAUGCUAUUUUAAUGCAGAAUGUUAGAAUCUAGGUGAAGUUACAGUAGUAUUAGAUCAUUUAUCAUCCUUGUACAAUUUCCAAAAUGAAAUCUUAAUGCGACUAUUUCAAAGGAAAAUUUUUGGAUCCUAAUUCCUUUCUGAAACUAUUUGCGGGGCCAGACAUUCUCAUUUUUUACAUGUGAUUCUUUUCUCCCUCACAAACGUCCAUACAGUCAUAGCUGAUGAGCGAACAUUUGGAAAACUCUACAAUACGAUUUUGGUGAUUGACUUUAAGCUAUGAUCAUUGGUCGUUGAAUUAGGUCGGCAUCACACUAGUGAAUAAUCCUUGAUGAUAGAUAGUGACAUAACCUUUGAUAAAUCAUAUUGAUUGAAACAUAUGAUUCAAAUGGUUAUUAGUGGAGUCUUUUGUUAUUCUUUCGCUUCUUCCUCUGUGUCAUUUUGUAUUUUGGUUUGCGGCCAUGAGGAGGAUACAUACUCCCUUUCCAGACAAUGUAUAGUUGAAUACUUUGCAUUUGGUUGCAGGGCUGUCUUACGACACCAAUGAAACAGUUCUGAAGGAUGCUUUUGAGAUGCAUGGAGAAAUUAUUGAAGGCAAUAUGCUGUAUCCUUGAUUGUAGUCUUUUCUUGUCCUUCACUUUAUUUAGUCUAAGAGUUGAUUCCAUGUGCUUGACAGUGAAGGUAAUAUGUGAUCAUAAGAGUGGAAAGUCAAAAGGAUAUGGAUUUGUGCAUUUCACUACAGAGAUUGCAGCGAGCAACGCCUUGAAGGAAAUGAAUGACAAGGUAUGUUUUUUUGUAGUAUUGCAUAGUUCUGUGUGUGAGCUUGCACCUUUCUUUCAGUUCAAGUUUAGUCUCCUAAUGCUCCUUUUUCAGAUAUUGGAUGGUAGAAAUAUCCGUGUUCAGUGUGUUCACAAAAGAUGAAGGCAAAGGAUUCGGUCUAUGGUGAAUCAUUUGUUGAUUUAAAUAUUGUCUGCUUUCUCAGCAAUGAGAAGAAGAAUUCGUCACUGGCAUCUCUCUUUGUAUGCUUGCAUGGUGGUGGCCUAUAACGACAAUCAUCUAAAUUUGAGUAUUACUAGAGAUUUUGUUCUAGCUUGUGACAAGUACAUGUGAUAAUCUUGUGCCAAUUUUUCCGUUGAGACAAUUUUCUGGAAAAUUUCAUUGAACUAGAGUGUAUGGGGAACUUAUUCCUACCCAAGAAACAAAUGUACAUACUGUGAGAUCAUAACCUUUUCUGGCAUUCACCAGUCAGGUCUGUUACUGAGAAAAGAUGUUAUCCACUAAGAGAGAUUUGAGAAGUGAAUUCAUUAUUUGAUUUCUGUAUGCUUUGUUGUUGAAUCGUGAAUACGAUCAGGAUAGUUCUCCUGUCUUGGCUUUUGAGUGGAUAAGAUAAAAGAUUCCAGUUCUCUGUAUGUUUAACUUGGUAUAUGGUGAUUCUCCUCGGUUGCAUCCGGUGUUUUUUUUUGGGAAAAGGGUGGGGGAUGGUGGGCGGGUUUUAUUCUCAGUGUUAUAAUACUUUAAAACUCAAAUAUUUUCCCGGCUAAUCUUUUUGGAGCCUCGUCAAAUUACACAAUGCUACGUCUUCUGGUAUCCCAGUUCUGCUCUGACUUGUCACCUUCGGUGAACUUGUUCAGGUCAAGUCCGUGCGUUUGUCCUGAUGCUCUUCGGCCUUGUUUACUCCAUGGUACAAUUUCAUGUUAAGCCACAUGUGAAUUCUUCACUUAAUUUUGUAAUGGCUUGUUCGCAUGUGUUAAUUCUCGAGCUGAUCCAGAAUAUUGAGAACACUUGGGUACACCCAAUGUUGGUACCACUGUAGGACCUGCAAGAAUUUAACGCACACGGUACAAGCCUUUCACAAACCAAUUAUUUUGGAUUGGUACAACCGCACAAGUAAUGUAUGCACAUGUCAAUGUUGAUUAGAUUCUGUCCUCAGGCUGUUAGAAGGAGGCCAAAACUUGGAUAGACUUCAAUGAUCCAAUGAUUCUGAUUCUGUUAUACCAUUUGUUAAGAUGACGCGACACGAUUUGGAUCAUUGAUUCUUUAAAAGUUGGGUUUGCCCAAGUGUGAGUUUUAAAAGGACAAAAAAUGUGUGGGCAAAAAUAAAAAGAAAAGAAAAAAAAUGUCUCAAUGAAAAUGUAUUCUGAUUAAAGAAAAAAGCUAUUGAAAGCGAAUAGGUAUCGCCGAUGGCGAGGCAUGAACAUUUUCAAAGUUGCCGGGAGGAGUUAACUAUACUUCCUGGUCCUUGAGAAGAAGCAGGGGAGUAACUUCAAAAUUCAAAUAUGGGUUGCAUGCCGCAGCAGAAAUGGAGAAUUUCGGGCUUGGAGAUGGGCUUUAAUCAUGUUGGAUCUGAAUCAGACUUUUCAGCUGUCAGUCGACAUCGAACUCAAAAAAUGCUAGCCCAACCUAGACCCACUUCAAUUCGAUUCUUAAGAAACCAUUUCCUCCAAAGGAGUCCCGGGUGGAACCCAACUGCUCAAGAAAAGUCGGCCUGCAUUGGGAUCUUCCAUGUACAGUACAGUACCUGCUGAGAGACUUGACUUCUUGAAUUUUUAUCUUCUUCCCUUUUUGAGGGGUUACAUAUUUCUUGAAUCCAUCGGUAUGAAAGCUUCGGGCCUUGGCCCUUAAAGAUAACCAAUCGUGGCAAAGUUCACCAUCCGAGUGUAGCAACACGCAAUGAAACCUCACCCAGGACGAGAAUUAUCUCGGGUCUAAGUCGAGUAUACGUACGCGUUCGGAAAUUCUUCAUUGAACGUUCCAAGCUAGAAAUGGACUAAGGUAAAUGCGCAGACAAAAGUCUAUUCGGAACUCCCUUCAUUUCAAGCCCUUGUCAGCAGCAGACCAUGUUUAAGCUUUAAACACUCAGAAGCUCGAGUAAGGCCAGAGAGGCAUUUUCCUCCGCCAACUCAAGUUUUUGGACAAAGAUGUUGAUAGGUCAAUUUAUUCAUAAGCUGUAAGAAACUAAACAUGACAAGCACUUCAAAAUAAUUUUGAAAGUUUCUGCUUCAAGGGCAAGUGAUCGACCAAAGUAACCUGCAAAUCCAACUUCCCCCUUCCCUUGAAACAGCAGGGAUUUCCCACUUGUGAACCUAAAUCUACUCCCUUCUAAGGUAAAAGAAACUAACGUCUGCUCUUCUGGAGAUUAUAAGGUAAUCCAACCAGAAUCAAACAUUAAAACUCUUGCAGAAAAGUAAACAUUAAGUACCUGAACAAGAUGGUAACAAAUACGGUCAUAGAUCACAAACCUCGCAACAAGCAAAACAUAAGGAAAACCUAACAAGUUUAUGCAUCUUAAACAUCAUUAGUGUGCAGUGCGCAUUAUUCCGUGCAAAUAGCCCCCAGUCAUGAUAAGGGACACAAGCGAGACAAUACCAGCUGGAAAAAUCUUUCCUGAUCUUUUAAAGCGAGAACCCAUCACUCCCAAGAGAGCAGCAGACAACCCAAAACCAAGGGAUGAAGCAAAAACAGGUUUUGUAGGAAGAGCUGUGUAGACAUAAUACAGUAGCGAGGCUGCUAGUCCACCAGAAAUCAAUGACUUCUGACUGCCACUUUUCAAAUAGCCCAUGAGUCCACCUGCUCCUACCAAGAAAGCAUAGACUAAUGUUAACUUUUGAGACAUGGAAAGUGCAGUCUUCUUGCUGCUCCCAAGGUUUUCAUCCUUGCUUUCACCUGAAUCCCCUUCACUCUCAUUGCUAUCGUUACUAUCACCCCCAUUAUUGCCUCCACCACCACCUCCUCCUUUACCACUUGCAUUGCCAAAGUCAUUUCCACCCCCUCCAGUGUCUGGUAGCACAUCAACCCCUUCCCCAGCUGAAUCGACUGUGAAAGUAGUAGGCAUUUUAGAAUCUGAGAUGACAGUUGCUCUAAUCCCCCCAAAAACGUGUUUUUUUGGUACACACUUAAUUGGAGAUAACACUAACUUCGUUGCUAAGAAAUGCCCAGAGGAAACUGCUAAUGUUGAUGCUAGAUUCUGUGCAGCGGGAUUCCAUGCUCGCAGAGAAUGUUGGAGCUGACACUUAGGCAGUAGAAGUAAAGAGGAUUGAGAAAAAGUCAAGAGUUCUCCCAUUGCCAUUGACAUUUGGAGCUUUUGCCUGCUUAUACAGAUCCGUAGAAGUAAUGCACGCGAGAACUUAAGUCUCAGGAUGUCUGAUUUUCAGAUCUUGUGGUCUUUGCAACUUCAACAAAAAUCAGUCUGCCAUUCACUAUCUGCAAUUACAUAUCAAAAUUACAUACUUCCUUAGCUAUCCACCACCCCCUGAUCAUUCUAUGGUAACCAACAAAAAUGCAGUUGGAUUAGUAGAAUCUACUUGUGUAUUAGCUAUAAAACUUAUCCAUGAGUAUCUCUGAGAAUUAUCUAACUAAUGAAAAAGUCAACUGCUGCUUUAAAUAAUCAUCACUGGUUAAACUUCUUAUUUGACAUGCACUCAACUCAUAAAAUUAUGCUUCUAGCUUUAACUUGUGAAAGGCAUGAGUAGUUUACUCAUGGAAACGAAUAGCCAAAAAAAUCAUGACUUUUAGUCAUCUAUUUUGAUUGCAAUAAAAAGAAUUUGUUUUUGCUGAAGACAAAUUUAAAAUAGAUUAAGAUAACAUGAUGAGGAUAUGACAGGUAACAAUGGAAAUGUCACAUAAAACUUGGGAGAAUUCAACCAAAUCAUAAGUCCCAUGCUUCUCUCUGAUGAUUUUCAGUUCUUAAGGACAAUUAAUGCAUGAUGCAUCGGGAGCAUCAAAUCAUGUUUAGACACAAGGAUGCACACUAAUUGGUGGCGUUGCUGACCUACACAUUCUUUAACAGAGUCUAUCCAAUCCAUACAGCUCUGUCCACUUGUUUACAUCCCAAGAGUACAUUCAGCAAAGUGUUCGAGACUCCAAGUUUACAUUUUGACCCUUAAACUUCAUAAAAAUCCAAAAGAAUUGCUCUUUCUUCACCUCUUACAUUGUGCCUAACAGGAAAGCUUUAAACUUUAUACCACUAAGAAAGACCUCGAUUAAUAAUAAAAAGAAAACAGAAAUCCUAAUGAAUCAAGUGAAAGAAAUAAUCAUUUUAAUCACAGAAAUUAACAGAAGCAUUUCUGUAAUGAAACGCAUGAAUUGGCACAGAUAAGUAUAGCUAUGAUAAAAAGAAAAUAUACCCUGCCAUUCAUUGCCUUUAACGCAUUUUGAGCAUCAGUUUCUGAAUCAAACUGGACAAAUCCAAACCCUUUAGUCCUUCGCGUUAUUGGGUCAAUAACAAGCCUAGCUGCAUACAUCAGUUACACAGUAUCAACCCGAAACAAUUAUUGACUCAUAAUGGGAACUGCAUAGGAUUUUUAUAUAAAAAUAUCAAUCCUUUACCAAAAUUGAAAAAACUUUCAAAACACUUGUUCAGGUAAAAAAAAAAAAAGCAAUUAAUAAUCCCUCAAAAAAAACGCGAUAUAGCAGAAAAAUCACCAAUCUUUUUCAGUAAGCUACUAAAAGCUAUCCAAAUCACCUUGCGUAACCAGACCGAAUGGUGAAAACAGACUCUUCAAUUCUUCAGCAGUCGUGUAAAAUGAUAAUCCUACCAAAAAACCAACAAAAUCAGGAAUACAUCGAAAAACCAGACUAUACCAUACACAUCUAGCAACAGACGACUCUUAACUCUACCAGAAACUUCCGUACAAAGAGCAUAAUGAGUAUAAGCAAAGAAACCCAGAUUCGCCAGUGUUGUUGAAAUAUAGAGACAGAGAGAGCAUAUCACUUACUGCUUACAAAUAGUUCUAGACCUCUUCUGGCCAUCUGGGGUUCUAGAGAGUGGAGCAAUCGGUAAUAAAAGAGCGUGCAACUUUUCCAAAUUACCAGUUAGUCCUGAAGUUUGUUCGGUGAACCAUUAUAUUAUCAGAAUUUCCUUUUAGGCGCACUAUAAGCUCUCUCUACCUCUUGUUUUUUGAGGUUGAUUUUUGGAUUUCACCAAUUACGUUAGUACUGAAUAGCCUAUUAUUAAUGUACAUGGUAUAUGCUUCUUUAUUUUGUUACAAAAUAGCUAAUAUUUGAUUUGCAUUGUAAAAAGAAAGAAACUAAAUUCACAAUGUUUUUUUAAAAUCUACUCCCCAUAUUUUAUUGAGAAUAUACUUUUUUAUAGUAAAUAUUUUUAAAUGUUUUUCUCUGUAUGUAAGAAAAUGUUACAAAGAAAUUAUGUGCGUAUUGAUUAAAUUGUUUUUUGCUUCAUGUACUCUUAAACUUGACUUUUGCUCUUAAGUUGUUUAAAUAAGAAAUUGUCUGUGUAUGCAGUUGGCAUUUAAUCAAAUAUUAUGAAAGUUAUUUUCCUUAGCAUAGUUUUUUUUGUCUAACAAUUCCACAUUUAUUUGAGAAGGUACUUAUUUCUAUUUCAUUACCUUCUACGUGGGGAGUUUUUGUAAAUUUUUAUAGCAAAACUAAAUUGUAGUAGCAUAUGAGAUAGGUGGUUGGAAAAUUCAAAAAGCUAAUAAAGCUUUUUAUAGAAACGGAGUGAUUGAAGUGUGGUUUCCUUACUUAAUUUAUUUUUUCAAUUUUAUUUAUAAUGAGUGAUGUUAAAUCUUAAUUAAUAGACAAAUGACUGCUUAAUUUUGUUAAUCCACUAUUGUUACUAAAAAAAUCUUCAACACUAAAUUGCCUACAACUUUUCCCUUUUAAGAUUGCGUCACAAUUUCACAACUAGCUAAGGGAUGAAUUUGUAGAUGAAACUACUUAUAAUUUAACAAACUUGAGCAACAAAAAAGACGAGGAGGGUUGAGGGGGACAAUUAAAAUUCGAGAGGCCUCCCUGAGUAGUGGUAUUUAGUGGAGGGGGUUUUCUGCAAUUCACAAAACAUACUACUCGUCACUGGAGAGCCUUUCUGGAACCUAAAAAUUACUAUCAAAAUUACAUCAUCGACGCUGUAACAAACAAAAUACAGAAAAGAAAUGGCGUGGAGGAGUAAUCUCUCAAAGAAUCUCAAGGAGCUUCGAAUCCUCUUCUCCCCAUCGGCUCCAGCCAGCUCUUCAACAAGGUACCACUGUUAGGCUUCCUUCUCGUACAAUAUAUUUUGUUUAGUAUUUCCGUCGGCUUAAGUUUCCUUUCCCCCUUUUCCCUCUCAAUAAUGGUUUCGGAUGCAUCAUUCACAGAGUAUUCAUUGAAAGGAAUUACAAGGAUCUUAAGAAACUCAAUCCCAAACUUCCGAUUUUGAUCCGGGAGGCCGAUAAUACAGAGCCUCAGCUUUGGGCUAGAUUUGGUAUGUCUUUUUACCCCCUUCAAAUUUCUAUUUAUGUCUCCCAACUUUAGAUUUCUGUGGAAUGCGAUGAUAAGUUUGAGCUUUUUUUAAAAAAUGAUAAAUUUAGAUAUAACAAAAAACGUCAUAGGGGAAUAGUAGCCCGUUUUCGUCACUAUGUUGAUGUAGAAGUGGAGAAUCUAGGAAGCUCAACUUGUCCUGCAAUUGAUCUUGGCAUUCUAAAGAUUCCGACUUUUGAGAGAGUUCAGAUUUUCGUUUGCUCCGUGAAUAAAAGAGGUAGUUGACCUAAUGGCAUUUGUGACACGUUUCCCAAAUUUUUGGGAUUGUUAGGAGAAAUCAACUUGGACGUUUUGGAUGGUUAGUGCAUGCAAUUUGGUUUAAAGUGUUUGAUACAACAAUUAGGAAGACUAGUUUAUUAUGAAAUAGUUGUAACCUACUUUAAUUCCUCUUGCGUUGCGUAUCUUUGUCUUGUUUGUAAUUUGGUCACAUCUUAUUUGUGCUUUACUAUUGCUUAUGGAUCUUUUUGUGUAUGACUAGAUUUUGGAGUUGAAAGAGGAAUACGUUUGGAUAGUAUGACAGAGGAUCAGAUCUCAAAGGCACUAGAGGAUCUUGCUAAAGUUGGGGCAGCUCUCAAAUCUUGAUGUAGGUGUCUAUGGUCCUUUAUUUUUAAUAAAGCAAUGGUUGCUGGAAAAUGCCAUAUCAUGUUCUCCAUUUGUUCUAAGCAACUUGAUUUUCUCUUUUUAAUGAAAUUGAGACGAGUUUUUUCCCCCUUGCUGAAACUAAGAAAUUGGGAAUGGGUUAUUAAAAGUUUAUGCUAUUCUGCAUGAAUUUCAAACUGCCUAGUUUGUUUGGAUUGUCUGUACUGUUUGGCGGAUAUGAAUGCCAUAUCCUGCAAGCAUACUAAUUAGUGUUAAUAGUUUUAUUAAACUGAUAUAUCUGGUCAGCUAUUCAAUGUUGAUCUUCUUUUGAUCUGGGGAAGGGGGAAUGGUGGGGAGCUGCAACUGUGCUCCCAUGAGAAGGGAUUCUGGCUGCAUUUUCUUUAGCCCUGCAUUUUAGAAAUUUGAACCAGUUCUGCUUAAACUUUAUCAGGGUAACUCUAUGUGGUACACCUUCGCAUAUGGGAUUGUUGAUCCUAUGAGGAAGUUGAGGUUGCAAAGUCCCAGAGUUAUGACUUUAUGGUUCUAGGAUUCCUUUCUGAAAAGCAUGACUCUCUUUUCUAUAUAUCUGGACAUCCUUUUAUUUAUUUAUUUAUUUUUGGGGGGGGGUGUGUGGGUUGGUGGGGGAGGGAGAAGAAGGCGGGUGGUGCUGGAACUGUACUCCCAUGUGAAAAAGAUUCUAGCUUGUGUUUUCUUAUUCCCGAAUUAUGGAUAUUUGACCCAGUUCUGCUUAAAACUUAUGUUGGUAAUCUAUAUAUAAUACAAUUUGGCAUUUGGAAUGGUUGAUCCUGUGGGGAAAUUGAGAUCAUGAAGUCCUUGAAGUAUGACUUUAUGAUUCUAGGAUUCCUUUCUGAAAUGUAUGGCUCUCUCAAUCACUUUCAUUUUUAUUUUGUCUGGGUUAGUAUGUCCUUUUAAGACUUCUGUUCUACUGUUACAUGUAGGUCCAAUGGACAUUUAAGAUGAGAUUGUACUUAGUGCUCUAGUGGCUAGGUGAGAAAACCAUGUAGUCUGGUUUGUCUAAUAGGUUAUUGCAACAGAUUUUUGGUUGUCAUAAUACUAAAGGUAGGAGGCAAAAACUGGAGAUGCUGGCUUAUCUGCCUGCUAGGUAGUAGCUAUAACCUAAAUGAAUCCUUCUUGGAUGUCUCAGCUUAUAGCAUCAUUGGGAUAAAGACUUUGGGAUGCUCACAUGAAAUAAAAUUUUGCCAAUUAGGUAUUGGUGCUGGAGAAGCUUUUUAGGUACUUUGUUGGGAAUGGUCCUUUUCAGAAUAGGAUGCAAGAAAGAAGUUGAAUAGAGUUCUGCAGCUCUUUUUUUUCCCUGGAAUAGCAGUUGGCUUUGCGCCUAGGGCCAGCAUUUGGUUUUAGCUUUAUUGCCUAGAGACAGAGCUAAGUUAUGAUUGUACCAUUACGCAAACACAACCAUGCACACACAUACACUGGAAGAGGAUUAUUUAUUCCAAUGUUGUUGUGACUUCUCAUGCAUCAUUCUGUAAUUGAAAAACCACUGAGAAAAAAAUCUCCCCUCAAUUUCUCUUCAACAACUUUGACUUAGAAAGAUAGCCUCCUUCAAUUUGUAUAGUUUGUCUCUGGAGAAGCUGUGUAGUUUGGGUUCCAAUCUUUUUUGGUAAUUGGUUUUGGUCUCAAGAUCAUUUGAUAGUUGGUCACAAAAUCUACAUUGAGUGGCCGGUUCACAAGGUAUAAAAGGAUAGUCCUCGGAUAUAUUACUGCACAUUCAGAGAACAGCCCAAAACAAGGACCUGCAUGCCCUGAAUGUUGAAAGUAGGUUUGUGGUAAAAGAAAUUUAGCAAUAGCAAUCUUGAUUUGAAUGAGAGAUGAUAUACAUGAGUUCUGCCUGUUUCAGACUUGGCCAAAAAUUUGCCUUUGGCUGCACUUUGUUAAAAUUAUGGAUCAUUGGUCUUACUUCUUAAACAUCUAUGGCAGACACUUUUUGAUGUCUGCAAGCACAAAAAGUUGAUGAAAACAAUCAGCAAAUGAGAAAGGCACCGAAUAAGGGGAAUCAAAGGGAGUAAUGCGUGAUGCAGUUAAGUGAAUGUGAAUUAUCAUUUUCAUUGCUAUUAGGUGCUUCCAAAAUCUUCGUACAACGUUCCACUGUUGUUCCUUUGGUCGAUCUGCGGCUCUUUCUGCAUGUUGUACAGCUUGUGCCUGCUCCCUUCCCCCAAAAUUCUACGUGUUCAUGCAUUUCACGAUUGCGGUGCUAUAGAUCAGCGAUUUCUAGUUGUUCUGCGCCUAAGUAGCAUACUGAAUUUUAGCUUGUUAAUAUCAUGGAUGAAACUGGUAAGAAUUUUUACUAGCCAUUGCAUUGAUCAGGAGGCAUGAUCCAUGAUUAUAAUCGUUAAUUAGGAAUGAUCCUUGGUGAACAACUUGGAGUUGGCGUGCUUGGGCUGAGACAUGAAGCUGUGAAUAGGUUAGAAGGCCCGAUACACGAUUUAUGCUUGCGUAACUAGCAUUCCAUCUUUUUGGCUAUUCCAUUUUCCUGUUUCUUUCAUCGUUUUAGCGACAGUCAAACGUGGUAAAUUAGCAAAUUCCCGCUUCUGAACACGAGGAGUCAAGUAUCGAAAUACCCACAGAGAUUGGGCAAAAUGUGGAAACAAAAAUUUUUUAAAAAAAAAAACAUUAUCCAUCUACUACUUCCUUUAUGAACAUUUUUCUUUUUGGGGUUUCAACUAAAAACUUCAAACUCUACAAGGAGGAAGGUAAAAGGGAAGGGUUUGAAAGUUGAGCCAUGAAUAUUAUGAUUAAUUGGAUAAUGUUCUCACCAAUUAAGUUGGAUUUUGGAAAAAAAAAAAAAAAUUUGAUAGUAAUCCUAAAAGUAUCAUCAAUUGUGCACUCCAACGUUCCGAUUCAAGAAAUUGUAUUAUAUUUAAAGAACCUCUUGUGAAACAAAUUGGUGUACGUAUUAUAUAUCUAUUGUAGUACCAUCUAAAGGAGGUCUGUUGAUAACGGGGAUGGAAUGGGAUUGCCUUAAUGGAAUUUUUUUUUUAAUUGGGUUCUAGCUUUGGCCCUAACUUUGUAAUUCAUGGAUUGCCCUUAAUUGGGCGCUGACUUUGUGCUGGAAAGAUUUUAAUUGGUGUUACGCUCAAAGGGAUUUAAUUGGACAAGACAUUUAAUUUGAAGAAUUAAAUUAGGCUAAAAGAACAUUGAGGAAGGAAAUUGACAUUAUUGAAAUAGUUCAAGAACUGAGAUGGAAAAAGGGGGGAAAAAAGGCGCAACGGAUCUUCUGUGUCACACCCUGUUUCACAUCCUAUCCCACUUCUUCUAAUCUUAUCAAGUGUCCCUUGAUAAACCAAACUCUGAAACAACCCAACUCAGAUUAUGCUAAGUUAAUUAAUCGAUUAACCGGGCAGAGAAACUUAAUUUCUAUAACCAAAACUGAUUAAAAUAAAAACUCUCUCACAAAAUCACGAUUUAUCAAGGAAAAAAAACCCUAAAACGCUAACAAGCUUUGUCCUCUCGUCAUCAUCUCCACCAUACCCUUUCAUUAUCUCCCAAAAAUCACUCACAAUUCACCCCUUCUCAAAAGCGUCUUCCUCCUUUCAACAAUGUCCAUUUGAAAGCCCGUUUCGGGUGAAUUGUGACAAGAGCUUGUUUCGGAAAAUUUGGUGCCCCGACCUGUUCAUGGGUAUCACUCAUCCUUAAAAAUUCAUUAAUUUCACUUAUCUGUUUUUCUAUAGGGAACAGCCAAAGGAAGGAGGAAGAUACGCCAAAGGUAAUGGACAUUGAUUUGGUGUCCUGGAUAAUUGAGGAAAAAUAUAAUCUUUUGGAAGGGUGAUACCACAUGGUAAUAGAAUUAUCACAGACUCAGUCGUCAAAUUGCUUGCUAACUAUGGCACUGAGAGUGUACUCUUUCUUCUGUUAUGCAUGACUUUGGGAUUUGCAUUUCAUGCUUCCAGUACCAUAAGUUUUUGGAGAUCUAGGAUUCCAUUUUAGUUUUUUAGUUGACCAGGACAUUUUGUCCUGUGAUGCAUGGAUAUUUAAUAGCCCUGUUUGGCACUUGAGUUUUUUGCCAAGUUUGUUUAUUACAAGUUUUUUAAAAACUUUAGCUACAGUAAUCUCAAAAAAUUUCUCAAAAUUUUUAAACUAAACACUUCAAAAUAUUUAAAAAUUUACACACUUCAAAAAAAAAUUUAAAAACUUCUACAGUAAGUUACAGUAAAGUUUUAGACAAACAUUCAAAAAACUCACUUGCCAAACGGGGAUCGAGAAGAUCUAGUACUACAUCCCAAACUAUCAAAACAACAGUACCAAAAAUUAAAGUUCAUAAAACAUUUUAUUAACAGCUAAACAUGACCUAAUAACUCCUAAAUUCAAAACCAUAACCCAAUAAUUAUCGAAAAUUGAAAUUUAACGGAGAAUGUGUCUCCUUUAUAACUUUUCUCUAAAUAUAAACUCUCAUCUUUCUCUCUAACUUUUCAUUCCCUAGCAAGUAAAGAAAACAUCUUUCUCCUGUAGGAGGGAGAUCAAAGUAUACUAUCGGUGAGAGUUUUCUUCUCUUCUAGUGCUUCCUAACGAGAGUUUUCUCCUCUUCUAGAGAUUUCUAGGAAGAGUUUUUGUAAUUUUUAUAUUUCUUUUAUUAGAUCUAUAUAUUUUCAAAUUUAGUUGUCAAAUUUGCAAGUCUUUAGAUCUAUCUCAUCAAAUCUCACUUUAACAUUGGGUUUGAAUCAAUUUAUUAGGGCUAUAAGUAUUUUAUAUUUCAGAUCUGUAGUACUUAGUAUUUGUUCUUCAGAUAUGCUUAUAUUUGUAUAUGAUUAUGGUAAUUUCUGCCAUUAUAUUUGUGUAUGAUUAAUGUAAUUUUUAUCAUUAAUGCAAAUUUAAUGAAUGACAGAUGUUUUAUAAAAAAAAAUUUCAAAACCCUACCCCUAAAAUCAAAAGACAAACUUUCCAUUUCUAAAACUAAAAAUUAAGAUAAAUACGGGCAAAUGUAUGAUAUAAUCCUAGAUAUAUGAAUAGGAAUUGCAUUUCGUUUUCUUAUACAAUCCACCAUUUUGCUUGAUAGAUUACUUGUUCACUAAUUGUAAAACGUCCCAAGUUCCUCUCCUUUCUUUUGUUCAGGCCAUUUUCCCAAAUAGGUCUGCAGCUUCUACAGCUUGUAUAGGGCUUGGUAACAAUGACGGGUUCAUGCAAAAUGAUUGAAAAAUAAAAACUAGUUUUACGCUCAAAAACAUUUUUUCUUUUGAGGGCUCCUAGUUGGGAUCUACAAUACCAUUAUUCAAUGUCAAAUUCAGUGUCAGUCUCACUCAAAUUCAGUAUCAGUCUCACUUAUCACGUGGAAUAAUGGAAACUUGAGUUAAAUCAAACCAAUUCGACUUAUUAAAAAAAUUAAAGAACAUGUGGCAAUCUAAAUAAAUAGAACACUUGGACAUAACUAUAGAAAUAGCAUGCAAUUGCCACUAAAAACUAGAAUAGCAUUAUUUGAAUAAAUGAGAAUGGUCUUUGCACAUUUCAAACUUGAUUCAAGUGUUAUUCAUAUUAUUUUAUGCUUUUAAUACCAAAAUUAAGAAUUUUUAAUAUUUUGAAAAUGCGGGUUCAUAUGUCAGAACAUUUUGAGAGAGCGGAGGCAUUAAGUCACCCCCCAAAAAACGGAUGAAUAAAGAGGUGGAACAUAAUGGUUGACUAAUGUCCCAUCUUAGAUGUCACUCGCUUGAAGUAAUGACAGUCUCCACAUUGAUCCAAUUGGCAUAUUAGAGUUAGGAAACUGAUUCAUUGAAAAUAACAUUCGGUAAGCUGUCAACAAGGGCUUGAGCACGCAAUUUCUACAUUGCAGAUGCAUACUCCAUUCAUUAUCACAGCCCUGCCUAAAUGGCUAAAUCUCCAUACUAGUUUCUCUGUUUCUCGUUUCUAUUCAUGCCAUUUCCAGAAAUAAUUCUGCUUCCUCUCCUGCUCAUUUCCUCGUUCAGGCAUUAACGGAUCAUCCGUGGAGGUUCCUCCAGCAUUCGAGUCCUUAUAAUCAGGAUCCUUGCUUGCAUGUUAGUGGAAUGCGAAAUUAAUUCAUUUAAGUUUCUAAACGAGGUGCCAUUUUCUUCAUUCAGAUGCCCUGCACGCAAUUUGAAACCUUAGGCUUAUCUCACGUUAGGUAGUUAAUGGAAUGGCACCAGAAGAUAUGACUUGAAUCAGUGAAUAAGAACUCUGAACAUUUCACUCUCGAUCAAUUAAAGUGUUUCAUAUUCUUUUAUACAUUUCGAAUGCGCUGGCUUAUGCUCUGAGUUCAAACUGAGAACAUGAACCUGUUGCAAGCAGAGACAUUCAUUCACCCAACAAACCUUACACCCGCAGGACUACUCCCAACAAAGGUAAAUUAAUACUGAGUAAAUGUAUUCUAAUUCUAAACAAAGAAAAAAAAAAGGGGGGGUGUGGGGAAAAAUUCCAGGAUUUCAGUGAAAAUUUAACUAUUAUAUAUUCCAUAUGAGAACUAGAUAGCAGGAUCCAGAAUACCCAGAAUUACAUCCCCGAAUAUCAGCAUCCAAAAAGUUAAAAUCUACAAAAAAAAAAGUCUAUUUGCUGCUAACCAAAACCUAAUAACCCCAAAUUCCAAAGGAAACACUUCCUCCACUUUACCAUCAACCCUUCAACCACAACUUCAAGAGCUAGUAAACUUGGUUACGGCCUUGGUCCCCUCAGAAACGGCGUGCUUAGCAAGCUCACCAGGGAGCACAAGUCUCACAGCAGUCUGAAUCUCCCUGGAAGUGAUGGUGGGCUUCUUGUUGUACCUAGCAAGCCUGGAAGCCUCCUGAGCCAGUUUCUCAAAAAUAUCGUUGAUGAAACUGUUCAUGAUUCCCAUGGCCUUGCUGGAAAUUCCGAUGUCCGGAUGGACUUGUUUCAGCACCUUGAAGAUGUAGAUCUUGUAGGUCUCCACGCUCUUUUUCGCCUUCUUCUUCUUCUUAUCGCCUGCUGCAGCGCCGGCUUCCUUGGGGAGCUUCUUCCCGGCCUUUGGCUUCUUCUCCGCAGGAGCUUUCUCGGCGACGGCGGACUUCUUCUCCUCUGCCGGCUUCUUCUCGGCGGGCUUCUUUUCUGCCUUGGGUGCCAUUAGGAUGUAGAGAUUUGCAAAGAGAAAAAAGGCGGGAUAGAUUUUAUUUGAGACGAGGAUUCCAGUGAGAAAUCUGAAAUUUUUGGAUAAUGGCUCUAGGAGAAGAGGUGUUUAUAUGGGUUGUUUUGGUGGAAGCUGAUUGGUUAAUGGUGGAAGCACCUGGAUCGAUGAGCUGGCGAUUUAUUAGGUGUUGGAUUUAAAUGGUUGGUGGAAGUGAGAUAAUGGACGGUUGAGAUAUAAGUUUUGUGAAAAAUAAUGGGCUGUGGGAAAUAUGGCUUUGGCGCCUUUGGUUUUUGUGUUGUUUAUUUGAGUUCUUAAACAAUUGGCGAUCAUCUGGAUUUGGAAGGUUUGUAAGGUUAACGAGGUAAUUUUGGGAAACCGCCAGAAUGAACAUCUUUUGUUUUUGUGAAAAUUCAAAUUACUGGUGAUCCAAGGAUGGAAAAGUAAGUGGGUUGACUAGGAGUAAUGGCAAGAUUUUAAUAAAAAAAUGUAAUUGCAAAAAAUAUGUGGCUUCACCAGUACGGAUCCCACUCGAGUGAGGAAUGAAGGGUCCAUAAGCCUCACUUUCAAUCUUUUGAAAAUGGUACCAUAAUGAAAUUUCGAAAUAUAGAACAAGGCCAUUUAUGAGAACGGGGAAAAAAAUAUGGUAUGUCUUCACCUAUUAAAAAAAAGAUUAAUCUUUAUAUACUGAUAAUAUAUAUACUUUCACCAUUAUAUACAUAAUACAUAAUUCGAAUUUAAAUUUGAAACUCAAAAUUUGUACAUGUGUCGUAUAUCUAACAGUGAUAAUGUAUACACUGUCAGUAUGUAUAAGUUUUACUCUUUAAAAAAAUAAAAAUGUAAGAACCCUCACUUAAGAAUAUAAAUUCUCCUAAAUUACUUGCACUGCCCUAAGACUAAAUAAAUUGUAAUCUUUCCUUGUAUUGCAUUGCAUUGUCUUUCUAUAUGAAUUGUAACAUCUCCUUGAAUUGGUAUUAUUUUAUUUCAUUAUAUGCACGAGGACCAAAUAUCCUUUUAAUUGUGUUUGAGACCUUAUGUGAAAGUUUAAGGGUGCUAAUUAGACAUUUGAAAAACUUUGAGGGUAGAAACAUUAUUUGGCAAAGUUUAAGGGAAUGAAUGACCAAGAUUGAGCCAAAUGUCAAUGCCCCAACCACUCAACCCAAUUGACCAAGAAUAGUAGUAAAAUUUAAACCUUUUGACUCCAUUUUUCUCCUUAGCUUGGCCCACUCUCUUAAGCUCCAAAGAGAGAAGAUAAAACUCCAUUUUCUUGCUUGAAACUCUAGCUUAGACUUUGAGAAAAAACCAAAAGAGAAAGAACCUUAGUUAGUUGAGUAAAUUAUUUUCAAGGUUUGUUUGUGAUUCAAACUUGGAACUCUGGCUUUGGUGGACUUUUGGUGGUUCAAACUUCAUUUAAGAAAGGUGAAUGAUCCUUAAACCUUAGUUUUAUUGUUUAAUAUCAAGUGUUUAAGGUAUUGAUGACAAAUUAGAAGUUGAGUUAAUGUUGUUUGUGGUUAAACUCCUUGAGCUAAGUAAGUGGAAGUAAGGUUGGAUGUAUGGCAUGCCAUGUAUUUGAUUCUUUGCCUAAACUUUGUUUGUAGUUUUUCUUGAUGUAUUAGCAUGUUAUGAACUCUCUUAAAGGUAGAAAUAACUCUUAGAACGUUGUUUAAAUUAAAAAUAAUGGAAGGAUGGAGGUUGGUGUUGACUGUGAAUUUCGAAACUGUUUUCUUUUUUUCUUGCUAGCCAACCAUAGAUUAGAGGUUUUUCCUUGAUCUUUGUGACUUAUUGAACUUUACUUAAGUUUAAGAAAUUUGCCUAAUAUUGGUUUAACCUUAUGUGUGAGUUAAGGUGAAAUGGAGCAAGUAAAUUGGUUGUUUGGCAAGGUAGCAAACUGUUUUGUUAUUCCUUGUUGGCUGGACUACCUUGAUUCAUUUUAGUAUCUUGUAUAUUGAAUUUUCAGCUUAACUAGUGCUAUAUAACUUGACCCCUAUAUAUUAAUUUUAGGAGAUUGAAUUGGAUGAAUUUGAAUCAAAAUGAAUAAGGUUAAGAAGGAGGAUUAGGGUGAUUUUUGUCAAAGUCCUAAGCUAAUCAGAACAGGAAAAUCAGUCAACUUCCCCGAACUUCUGGUAUUGAUAGGAGAGGAACUAGAGUUUGCAUUUUAUACCAUUAGAAAACUCUUCGAGUCUAGUUUCCAACGCCACCAACGGCACGCGAUUCCGACUUGUCUACAGUGAGAUAUGAUCAUUUUUUCGAAACUGUGCGUGUGCGAUUGUUUUACCGCGAAGGCCCUUUUGAACUUGAAUGAGAUUUUUCUUUUGCUCAAUUUUCUUGCACUUAUCAAACUCAUUUUCUUAUGAUCUUUUUCUACAUUUUUUGUCUAACUUGCAUAGUAAAUUAAGUUGAUUAACAAUCCAUUUGGUCACCUAAUGAAACUUACAUUUGGGUUGGUAAAUAAAUCUAAAAUAUUAAUGACUUUUACUCGUUGCCUAGGAUUGAAAAACGAAAGUGAGGGUAAUCACGAGACUUGACGGACAAACUCUGAAUUUCUUAACAGGUGAGCGUUCUACUGCCUCUUACCUGUCUAUGUGAGAUAUCUGAAUACUUGGUCUGUAAUUGUUUGAUCUAAACAUUUUAUUUGACAAACUCGAGGUGAACGUGUAUUUUAUCACACUUGACCUCCGUCGAUUCUACUGAAACUCUGUAUACUGAUAAUUUAAGAUGUGAUUUCUCUAUAUUUGACUAUACAUCAUUUGGGAGAUUUCCCAUUGACCACUGUGACUGUUUAGGUACCCAAUCUCGUAGGUGAAUCGGUUGUAUCAAGCCAACAAGGGUUUGGUCGAGAAGACCGAUGAACCUUGGGAACUAUUUACUGAAAUUCAAAAAUUUGUAUACUCGAGUAUUACCUAAUUAUAUUGUUUGAAGUGUUCGGAUCCGGUAAGGGAGUUAACUGGUGUACGAAAUUUGGAGAAAGUGGUGUUCUACGGACAUUAUAUUAUUUAAAUGCAAACGUUGACGGAGAGUCAACAGAUUCUCGAUACGAUCAAGUUUAAGUGGAUUUGGCUUUUAUAAACUACCCGUAUUCUUAAAUUGAAUUGUGAUUAAAUUGUUCCAGAAUUACACGGUGUUUACUUGUUUAUAUUACGCCUCUAACUGGGUAUGUGCCUACAUGUUUAUUUGGGAUCUCACUGAAUUUUAGUUCACCUCACUCCCUUUUGUUUUCUUUAACAGGUAUGUGAUGGGACUGCUAUCAGGAACUUGCAUAAUUUUAAAUCUUAUCUUGAACUUGUACUUUGGGUUGUAAUUCUUUUGUUUAUAAGAUUUUAUCUUUGACUCUUGUAAGUUUGAAGUUGUAAGUUGGGCACUUAUUAUGUAAAUUAAGUUUGACAUUUAACUUUAUAUUAUAAACUAGUUUUGUACACGUUCGUUGAACGGGAAUUUUCAAAAAAUAAUAAACUAUUUAGUAAAUUUUAUAAAAAUAUCGAUAUGAAAUACAAACUUAAUGUAUAUUUUAUUACAACAUUUCUUAAGUAUAUUACUAUAUGCGCAUUGUAAUAUAAAUUUGAACAUCUAAUUCAGUAAAUAAUAAUUUAAAAAUGGAAAAAAUAACAUUCGGCAAUAUCAUAAUAUUUAAAAACUUGAAAAUAAAUAAAAAGUAUAGUAAAUAGUAUCAAAUAAUAUUAUACUCUUCAGAAACUUGUUUUUGUUUUUUCUUCUAUUUGAAUAUUCUCUUUGAUUUGUCUGUGCAAAUCAGCAUUUAUUGAUUUUCCAUUAUCACUGCAUGAUAGCAAAGCAGGAUAACUAAGUAUAAAAAAAUAAAUGAUUUAUCGCAUUUAAGGUUGCGUAUAACAAUACGUAAAGAUUAUAAUUUUAAAAAAUAAAAUAGUAUAUUAAAUCUACCUUCUCAUGCAAAUCUUUUUAUGAGGAUUCAUUCCUUUGUGGCUUUUGUUGAACCCUCUGAUGAAUGAUUCAUAUGAAGUGUAUUGAAAUGUUGUUAAUUAGAAUAAUCUAUUAUACUAAUUGGGAUCUGGGAAGAAAAUGUUUCAGGUUGGUAUUGGUUGUCGGUUCCACCAAUCUGAUAAUGAUUUAUCAAAAUUAAAGGCAAAAAUAUUAUGUGAGAUAUAAUAUGUGAAAUAUAAGAGAAAUUUAUUACUAAUUCAAGAUAUAUUACUAAUCCUAUGUGUUCAUAAAAAAAAUAGAAAAAAAAAUUCAAGAUAUGUUACUAAACUUUUACAAUUGAAGAUCAACAUACCUUUUUUAAAAAAAUAUGUAUUAAAAGUAGAUAUACUUGAUAAUCAAGAGGAGUGAAAAUCCAAAAUCGAUAAUUUAAUGUGCCAACCGUUUGCACUGAAAAUACUUAACCAUGAAUUUGAUGCUUGAAAUCAAUAUAUUAGAGACUAUAUGUAGUGUAGGCAUAAGAAAUAAGAAUUGAUAAGAAUAUAAAGAGAUAUUGAAAAGAACAUUAAAAGUAAGUUUAUCUUAAUUUAAGUUGUUUAAGGUACGUAACUUUAGGUAGGAAAUAAGAAUCCUAUAAUAUUAAGAAUUCUUAUAUGAAAUAAAAGUGAGUUCUCAAGAUAGAUUUUACCUAUCUUGAAAGACCACCUCAACUAUAUCGAGUCUUUUAAGUGCAUUGACUUCUAUAGUGUGGGUCCACACACUAAAUACUCCCCACCAUUUGGGCAGAGAUGUAUUGUGAAUCUUAUAACCAACAUGUUUUGAUUAACAACGAACGGGUUUAUAGGAAUUUACAAACCCGUGCUCAAAUUGGAAUUUAUAUUUGACCGUACGCGUCAAAUACAUAGAGUUAAUUGGAUUCAAUUAACUUUUUCUUUUCCAUAAAUUUCGUGCUAUGUACUAUGUCUUGAUAACGCACUUAAUAAUAAAAUUUAUUAAGAAUCCUAUUUCCAACAUCAGAUAUUGACUUCUAUUAUUAAUUGUUCCUUUUGAAAUUAGUUACUUUUCUACUUCUUGUAGUGAUAACAAUUCUCAUUUACUUCGGUUCCUAUGUAGUACACAAAUUAUUGGCAUGAAUUUGGAUAUAUAUCUAAUAGAGAUAUUUAUGUCUCUUUUAUUUAUAUCGCAUUACUUUCCAGUUUCUUUUUUGGGUAGGAAAUAAGAAUCAUAUAAUAUUAAGAAAUCUUAUAGGAAAUAAGAAUUGAUAUAUAUUUAAACAAAAAAGGAGCAAGCCACGUAGGAAAUUACUUGUCGUCUCAUUAAGCCACGUAGGAAAGAGAAAACAUGAAAGGAUAAGAAUGAAAAUACGACUUUAUUAUAUAUAUAUAUAUGAUUUGGGAAGUUGAUGUGACGAUUAUAUUUCUAUUAUAGUUUGUAACCUUUACUUCGAAGAUAUUUAGUUAAUUUUAUUGGGUUGCUGGUUCAUUAGUUGACUGAACCCCGACGAGAGUUGGGCAGACAGCUCGCUAAUCCUCAGGGUUCGUCUUGAGAUAAUGUGGGAUUGUCACAAAAAAUAUGUACGUCCUUCUAUACUACAGCAUAUGAAAUUAUAGGUAAUGUUUUAAAACUUUUACUAACCGUGUAGAUGGUAGCAUUUUAUUGACAUGGGUAUAAAAUGCUUAUAAUUAAAAGGGUUUGUUUAUUUGGUGCUGUCAGGGCACCAAAUAAGAAGUGGAUUUAAUAUUAUACUUAAAAAAAAAAUUGAGUUGGUGAAAAGCUUUUCUUAUUCUUAUUACUCGCUUACUCUCCACUAGCACCGGGUUUUAUAUGAUUGGUGAAUCUUUUGUUGUCGAUAUAUUCGUGUUACCAAAAGGACUAACCGCAAUUGCGAUUCGGGUUUUGAAUUGCUUCCGUUUGGCAGGUAAGAUUGCCUUUUUCCGAGCUAUCAAGUUUUUGUGCGAUUUGGAUUCGUCUAAUGUGAUUGAUUGGUGCAUUUGGCAAUACAUAUAAACUGGUUUGGAAAAUUUACGAACAAAACAUGGACUGCUAUUACAUAAAGCUGCAAGUUGAUCAAAUUAUUCGACUCAAAUUCAUGAGUAACUUGGUUAAUGAUUAGAUUUGAAUUCGAUAUUUACUGAGUUUGAGUCGAAUUCGAACUACUUAAUAAUACGUACAAGUCGAUUUUGAUCACUAUAUUCCUUAGCUCGUAAGCUCGGCGAGCUUAAUUGAAUUUUUAGUAUACUUGUAAAAGUGUAUACUUCUAAAAGUAUACAAGUUGACCAUGUAGUAUACUGGAUCGUGGUUGAAGUUGCCUUGUGGCCAGUCGCUAUCUUUAACUGAUCAUUGCAGUCUAUUGGCCUUGAACUCGUGUAAAUUGGAUCAUUAUGAGUGCACUGGACAAUUUGAUUAAUGAAAAGUUGCUGCCUUUGUUACUUGACUGCUACCUUUACUUGGUAUAUGAAAGACACUCUGUGCCAAUUUAGCUUAUAACGAGUGAAUCUGAACAUCAUGUAUUGUUUCCGAAAAAGAGAGAAGAAAAAAAUAAUUAUAAUAAUGUGCCGUGUCACUAGACCUCCGCUUACCACGGGGAUGAUCAAAAUUGAAGCCGAAAUGGAGAAUAAGAGAAAACAAAGGGAAAAUUACACUUUAUCCUCAUGUAGUUUGGUAUUUUUUUAUAUGAUCCCCUGUGAUUUCAAAAGUUAAACAUAACUUUUUCAUGAUUUGGAUUAAAGUGUCAAAAUGACGGAAUUUGCAAUUCAUAUUGGAAUCAACUAAAAUAACAAAAAUACCCCUAUAUAAAGUUGAAAAUUAAUUAUGAACCACAAGAGGAUUAUGUAUACAUAUAUUAAAAAUCAUAAAGGAGUUAUAUGAUAAAAUAUAAAGUCAUAUGCAUAUUAUGUUUAUAUAUUUUGGUUAUUUCAACUAUUUUAGUUUUUAAGCAAAGGUAAUUUCGACAUUUUUAUAGGUUCUAUUACGAAUAAUCAUUGUCGUCAUUUUGAUAUUUUAAUUCAAAUUAUAAAGAAAUUAUAUAUAACUUUUAAAACUAUAGAGGGAUUAUGUAAAAAUUAGCUAUGCCACAAAGGGGUAAAGUGUAAUUUGCCCGAAAACAAAUACCAAUGCCUGAAAUUCUAGACUUAAAUUACACAAAUUAAAUCAACAUUUCCCCCUCGUUAUUUCCAGUCAUUUUUUUAUAUAUUGUUAAUGAUUUACCAAGCGACGUUAUUUUGACAUGUCAAAAUCACGAGUCCUCUAUUUUUGUCAAUUUCUUGCAGAUCUCGGUCUCCUACGCGAACGCAUCAACUCGCAUUAAAAAGAAUAAGCUAUGUUUUGCCUGCGCCUAGUGUAGCUGUACUGUUUCGAUCCUAAGAAUAAAAGUUUAAACAACGGAAAGCCAAAUAAAAUGAAACUAAAAUUAAAAAUAAAAAAAACAUACAUACACACGCUCUGCCAGAUGCACAAUUAUGGGAGCAAUAUUUAUGACCGACUCAAUCGGGCAACUACUGCCUAAAAAUUAUGUUGAAAUUGAAUACGUAAUAUAAUUAUAAAUACACAACCAAGGCAAGUCAAUCAACAGUACUUAAGAGAAAAGAAAAACAAAUAUCAACUGCCCCUUGAAUUUUCUGUGUCCAAAAUGCAUCUAAAUUUGAGAGACAUCAGAGAUAUAGGAAUAGAAAAUAUCAUAAUUCUAACAAAGAUAUUUGUUUACUACUGAAGCUUGAGCUACAUCUGUAAUAGAUGCAUUGCCAAAGGAUCCGUGGUUGCCCAAAAAACCUAGUAAGGUUGGAGCGAGCAUCACAACUUCCGUGUUCACUUGCGCCAUAUAACCGGAUCAUGCUCGACCCUUCUCCUCCUCCCGCUUGCCAUACGACUUCAGCGACCACCAGGUGCUGAAUCGUCCCAGACGGAGCCCAUCAUGUUAGUGAAACUGAAACUGAAGCUGAAACCUCCACUGGCCCAGCAGCAGCCAGUGGAGGAGGAACUGGAACUGGAACUGGGGGAGGAGAUCCUCUGGCAUCUAGCCAGAGAGAUGACUUGUUAAGGGGGUUCAUUAACUUUAAAGGAAUGGUUGCUAUUAAAAUUUGGUGGGGAAGGAUCUUCCAAGCAUAUCCUUUCAAGCAUUAACUUGGCUUGCUACUGUGCUAUAUUUUAUUGGUCCCUUUUGGUAUUUUUAUGCCGUGUCAUUAUUAUUGAAAGUGAAAAUCUCAUCAAAGC
rnacentral:lncRNA from 1 species